rnacentral:lncRNA from 1 species
GCUUGGAGGCGUCAUUGUGACUCGAAGUUUAGGAAAGUACACAUUAAAGUUAGUGCAAAACUUCGCUAUAUGAAACGUUUUCGAAAUAAAAUCGUUGUGCCAUACAGAGGGAAAGGUCAGUAUUAAAUUUAGCUAUUUUUUAAACGUUUUUGAGUUGUUCUUGUUAAGUUAUUGCUGUUUUUUAAAACACGUGUGUAUAUUCAUUAGCUUUCAUUGUAGUAUGUAUUCAAUUUGAUUCCCAUUCAAGUGCUUCGUUUCACCGCUCAGUGGCUUUAUUUUCUCAGUGUUUCUCCCGAAUUUCCUACCAGUAAUGUUCAGAAAUACCCCAGCUUUGAUUCAUUUAACUCACAUUUAGUUUAUCUGCAAUUUCAGGGCGAAAAUUUGAAGAGAAAGUGAACUAAUUUAAGUCGCCGACAUGGUCGAAAUGCCGAAGCACUUGGUAAGCAUAAUGUCCAUUAAUAAAGGCGUUUCCUUCUUGUUUGUUUAUCGUUUUUAAGCUUUCUCAAUAUACCUGUGAACACUCUAAGUCAAGUUUAGUUACAAUAUUGGUGAAACGUUUGUCCAUACCGAGCGAAUUGUCGAUUUUAGGCAUGUUCAAUUUCACAUGGAGACGUGGCAUAUAAUUUUCGAGCAUUUUAGCUUUUACAAACUAGUCGUUUAUGUACAAUUGUUCUCUGAGAGGGAAGGCUAAGCUUUUUUAGUUUCUUAGGUUGUGUAAAUUGAAUUUCAUCCAAUAUUUUUACGAAAUUUAAAGGCGAAAUGUCCUCGUGGUUCAUGCCGUAAUUUUAUGCAUAGAUGCACGCACUCUUAAAAUUAAAUUACUGAAUUGGAUAACCACACCUUGUGUAAACGACAUUGAAUAACUCUUCGUUGUUUUGAAACUAAAAAUUCAUUGUCCAUUUUUUUAGACUGCCUCAAAGUCGAUCAUUCCAGUGGCAAACAGUACAGAAAGACCUCUGAACAGAUUUGAAAGGGCGCUCGCCUAGCAGUCGAAGCAAAACGAGAAAGAUUAGAAGACAAAGGACAAAUGAGACCAGCCACCAGCUCGAUUCCUUUGCGAACCCACAGCAUUCAUUGUCAGAUUUCGUUUGUGCAAAGUUUAGAAGAGAUUGCCACUUGUCCAGAGACUGUAACGAAGGCAUAUAAUAACAUACUCGAACUGUCUGUGCCAAAUAUACAAUAUGUAACGAAACGCUCUAAAGCAGAUCCUCGUCAGAUUUCGUUCAAUCAGCCAAUUGUGAAUGAGAUGCAAAAACCUGCUUAGCGACAAUCGACGCGGUACCAUCCAGAGAGCAUAACCAAUACGCCAUACCAUCGCCAAAGAUGUUGUACAUUACAGAAGGUAUAUUUUUCUCGUGAUUCUCGUUGUGCGU